AGUGCAAGGAGGAAGUGGUGGGCACCUUGGAUGCUGUGCAGGUACUCUCGGGCGUCAGCCAGCUCCUGCCCAAGUCCCGCGAGAACUACCUGAACCGUUGCAUGGACCAGGAGCGGCUGCGGAGGGAGAGUACCAGCCAGAAGGAGAUGGACAAGGCAGAGACUAAAACCAAGAAGGCGGCAGAGAGCCUGCGGCGCUCAGUGGAAAAAUACAACUCAGCCCGAGCUGACUUUGAGCAGAAGAUGCUGGACUCAGCCCUGGACCUCUGGACUUCGAGGCAUACAGCGCGGCUGCCCUGCAGGAAGCGAUGAAACGUUUGCGGGGAGCCAAGGCCUUUCGCCUUCCUGGACUAAGCCGGCGGGAGCGGGAGCCGGAGCCACCUGCAGCUGUGUGAGGAAGCACCCCUGCCCAGUCUGGCCCAGCCUAGCCUGAGAUCCCUUCCCCUGCCCAGGCUAUCCCAGAAGUCCCCUCCUAGGAUAGCCCAGAAGUAUUCCA
rnacentral:sRNA from 1 species